UUUCUUACAUACUUUUUCUAAUUAUUUUAAAAUUUUCUAAACGUUCUAAACUAAAACAAUUUAAAUGAGUAUAAAUUAGCAUAUAAUAACCCACCAAAAAUAAUAUUAACUCUUGAACCGUUCAAGCUAGAGAGACCGAACCAACUUUCAUAUGUUCAGGCUAUCCUUUCCUAUCCUAUCCUAUCCAUCAAUCAAUCUUUCCAUCGACUUUCUUUUUCCAAUUAUAACCAGUCACUACCAUUACUAGUGCAGUGACUGCCAAUCCUAUAACUUAUUUUACAACCAUGAUUACUUUAAGACAAGCUAGCAAGUACACACAUUUUCUUUAGGAAAUGUAAUUUUCCAUGUAUUAUUAUUUUCUUUUAGAUUCGGCACAGCCGUGGUUUUUGUUAAACUGAUAUUCAACCUCAAAAAACCAGUCCCCACUGAGGCUGAUGUCCUUGGUGCCGUCAAGAAGCAACUGUCUCUUCAAUCCAAGACCACUCAAACCACCUUCCAGAAUGCAACUUAUAUCAGUGAGUUCAAGCAAUUAGGUUUCAUGAAGACAUUUAUGUCCUCUCUAUGAAAUAAUUUCUGAAUAAGUACAUAUUCAACUGCUCCUGCUAUCUAAAUACUUCUUGAAUGUUUUUUUUAUGUUGUUGAAACUCCUAAAUUGUAGCAGUUCAUUUGAUCUGUUGCUAUAGUGACCAUUUUUUUGUCUGCUUACAGAACUUUCAGAUACUUCAUUUGCCAUCAACCUUGGUUUCAAAAUAACCAAUGUAACCCUGGAGUCUCUAAGUAAUAGACUCACAUUCACCAAUGAGACCUACGUCCAGAUACAGCUUUCAAUUAACACACUUCUCCGUCAACUUCUCAGUGAACCAAACGGCAACCAGUUUCAAUUUCCCAACGCCAACUUCAUGUAAGUACAACGUCAUAACCUUCAACCAACCCGUCUUUCUCAACUGCACUCUUUAGAAUUUCUGCAGAUUUCAUUUAGCUGCUGCUUUUACAGCUAAACAGGAAGAAGGGACCAUGCUCAUCUCUCACACAAAACCCAAUUUUACUUUCACAGUGCUGUUGGCACUGAAAUCAGGGCAAAUGUGACGUAUGUAUACAAAGAGGAUGAUGUCAACCACCCUAGUGGUUUUCUACAGGAAGUCUUAAAAGUCUCAGGUAUGCUGCUUUUGUUACCAUACGGUUGUCAUUUCUAUGUUUAUUUAUGACAGUGAGUUAUCAAAC
rnacentral:lncRNA from 1 species